UACGUAGGGGGCUAGCGUUGUCCGGAAUCAUUGGGCAUAAAGAGCGUGUAGGCGGUCCGGUAAGUCCGCUGUGAAAGUCGGGGGCUCAACCCUCGAAUGCCGGUGGAUACUGUCGGGCUAGAGUGCGGAAGAGGCGAGUGGAAUUCCUGGUGUAGCGGUGAAAUGCGCAGAUAUCAGGAGGAACACCUAUUGCGAAGGCAGCUCGCUGGGACGUAACUGGCGCUGAGACGCGAAAGCGUGGGGAGCAAACAGG
rnacentral:rRNA from 1 species